rnacentral:rRNA from 1 species
UACGAGAGGUGCAAGCGUUAUUCGGAAUAAUUGGGUGUAAAGGGCGCGUAGACGGCGUGUUAAGUUUGUUGUUAAAUCCUCCGGCUCAACCGGAGAUAUGCGGCAAAUACUGGCAUGCUAGAGGAUGGAAGAGAGAAGUGGAAUUCUUGGAGUAGCGGUAAAAUGCGUAGAUCUCAAGAGGAACACCGAUGGCGAAGGCAGCUUCUUGGUCCACUCCUGACGUUCAGGCGCGAAAGCGUGGGGAGCAAACAGG